ACGACUUUUGGCAAUGGAUAUCUCUCGCCUCGAUCGAUGAAUAAUGUAGCAAAAUGCGAUACUUGAGGUGAAUUGUUGAAUCCCGUGAACCAUCGAAGUCUUUUGAACGCAAGUCAUACCUCAAGCUUUCGCCGCCGAGGGCACGCCCCGGGUGGUGUCACAAUAUUCCCCCCAUCCUCUCGAGGAUAGGGACUAAGCUGAUCUCCCCGCGGUGUUACCGCGAUGCGUUGGCCAAAAUCCAAGCUAAGGACGCCAGAGCGCCUUUGACAUGCGGUGGUGAAUUCAAUUCUCGCCAUAUAGUCGACGCUCCGUCCAAAAGCUCUUGAUGACCCAAAGUCCUCAACGCGACCCAUGUCAGGCAGGAUCAUCCGCUGAGUUUAAGCAUAUCAAUAAGCGGAGGAAAAAACUAACAAGGAUUCCCUUUAGUAACGGUGAGCGAACCGAAUAGCCCAACUUGAAAAUCGACGCCUUUGGCGCUAGAAUUGUAGUCCGAGAAGCGCCCCUCAGCGACGGACCGGGCCCAAGUUCCCCGGGAAAGGGGCGCCAGAGAGGGUGAGAGCCGCUGUGCCAGGAGACCCUAUCGCAUCAUCGAGGCACUGUCUACGCGGUCGGGUUGUUUGGGAAUGCAGCCCCAAUCGGGCGGUAAAUUCCGCCCAAGGCUAAAUGUGGGCGAGAGACCGAUAAUAACAAGUACCGCGAGGUAAAGAUGAAAAGGACUUUGAAAAGAGAGUCAAAGAGUGCUUGAAAUUGUCGGAGGGAAGCAGAUGGGGCCGGUGAUUCUUCCCGUUGAUGCGGAGCGGAGCAAUCCGUAUACCAAUCGAUUCGCCAUGGACCAACGCGGAUUAUGGUGGUGAUGUAAGCACGGGCUUUUGUUACCGCGGAGAGACGCCGCUGCCUUUAAUUGUGGUUCUGGCAGACGCGCCUUCACGGCGCGCGGCUCGCAUCUGCGUGCUCGGGCGCCAACCUGUGGGCUCCCCAUUAGACCCAUCUUGAAACACGGACCAAGCUGAGUCUGACAUGUGCGAAGUCAACGGGUGAGUAAAACCGUAAGGCUAAAGGAAGCUGAUUGGCUGAUCCUCACGGGUGCAGAGCCGAACCGACCUUUGAUCUUCUCGAGAAGGGUUAGAGGUGAGCAUAUUCUGUCGGGACCCAAAGAUGGUGAACUAUGCCUGAGCGGGCUGGCCGAGGAAACUUCUGGUGGAGGCCCGCAGCGAUACCGACGCGCAAAUCGCUCGCCUGACUUGGGUAUAGGGUGAAAGACUAAUCGAACAAUCUAGUAGCUGGUUCCUCCGGGUUUUCCCCUUAGAUAGCUUUAGAGGCAUCAGGGAUGCAAUGUCCUCCACAUAUUCUCAAACUUUAAAUAGGUAGGACGGGUGGUUGCUUUGUUGAGCCAUCCCACGGAAUUGAGAGCUCCAAGGGGCCAUUUUGGUAAGCAGAACUGGCGAUGCGGGAUGAACUGAAGUUGGGCUAUGGUGCCCAACUCUGGCGCUUAACCUAGAACCGACAAAGGGUGUUGGUCGAUUAAGACAGCAGGACGGUGGACAUGGAAGUUGAAAUCCGCUAAGGAGUGUGUAACAACUCACCCGUCAAUCAACUAGUCCCAAAAUGGAUGGCGCUGAAGCGCGAACCUAUACCCGUCAGUCGGGCAAGAGCCAGGCCUCAAUGAGUAGGAGGGUGCGGCGGUCGCUGCAAAACCUAGGGUGUGAGCCCGCGGAGCGGCCGCUGGUGCAGAUCUUGGUGGUAGUAGCAAAUAUUCAAAUGAGAACUUUGAAGGUCAAGAGGGAAAGGUUCUAUGAAACGGCACUUUUGCACAUGGGUUAGUCGAUCCUAAGAGUCGGGGAAACUCAUUGAUAGCGCUUUAUGCGAAACUUCGAAGGGGAUCCGUUAAAAUUCUGGAACCAGGACGGGCGGUUGACGGCUACGCUAGGAAGUCCGAGACGCCGGGCGGAUUCCGAAAGAGUUAUCUUUUCUGUUUAACAGCCUGCCCACCCUCUGAAAACGCUCAGCCGGAGGUAGGUUCCAGCGGCUGGAAGAGUGAUAUACCUUGAUUUGACCCGCUUUCAUCCAUGGUGUUUUACUAUAUUAUAUAUCUAUGUUUUCUACUCUUCUAGGUAUGUUUUCAGUUUCAGGUGCAUUUCGGAGUAAAGCUAUGACUUCGUAGCAUUUUGAAGCUUAAAAGACAUUUCAUCCGAGCUGACCAUGUAGAGGUCGAAGAGAGGAAGAACAAUCGAUCGAUGCACAUCCAGUGCUGUCGAUCGACACCAUGAAAUGCCUCGACAAAUGAAGAUUAAUAUCGAUCGAUGUACACAAGUACCAUCGAUCGAUGUCGGUGACAUUGACAUGCGAUCUUUUAGAUCCAGCGGACUUGAAGCCCAAGUCCAAGCUAAAUUACAAAAAAUGCCCUGACGAAGUUUUAAUCUAGUAGAUUAUAUACUGCCUAAGUGUUUUGACGGCAGAGAGAGUUUUUGUUACAGUUUUACUUUGAGAGAGAGAGAGAGAGUUUUGGAGAGAAGAUCACUUGUGAUUGAACUCCUUGUUUUCAUUUCUUUUCAUCUAUAUUAGAUCCAGGGUUCAGAUAGGUUUGUGGGAUUAGUCCCAAACUUUAGAUCUGCCUUUGUUGUGAUAUUCAUGAUAGAUUUGUAUUCAAUGCUUGUUUUAGCCUUGGUAACUAGAAUGUGGGAACCGAAAUUCGCGACUGUCGAUUUCCGCUUAAAUAAGGAAACUAGAAAACCCUAAUUUCCCAGAGGUCCCGGAUUUCGCGAGAGCAAAACGACAAGUGACCAAACAUAUGUGGAAAUCGUGAAAAGAUAACAAACGAAGUUUAGAGAAAACAGUAGAUCUUAUUUCGAAUCAUGUAAGAGCGCUAUGAUCAUUACAAGGGAUCAUAAAAGCUUUUGGUCGCAAAGGCUAUCAGCGAAGUUACCUAGUUCUAGCAGCCUAAAAGCUCAAACCUAGUUGAGUCGCAGCUCGAUAACAAAAAGACUAAAAAGAUAUAUAAAAGGUUUUUGAUUGAUUUCGACUGAACCUUGUUAAAGGCUGCCACGCACUCCCUUUCGAGGAUCAAGCCGAACGAGUUCAAUUGAUAGAGCUGGACAAGAGAUCGAACUGCCUGGGCGAAGUUCGCCUAGUAAUUGAGUGCCAGUCAUAGAAACCGAACUUGUCGAGAAUAAAGCCUAAAGUUUCUAAGUGCAGAGAAUUCGA
rnacentral:rRNA from 1 species